rnacentral:rRNA from 1 species
GCUCGGGGAGGUAGUGACGAAAAAUAACAAUACAGGCCUCGUACGAGGCCCUGUAAUUGGAAUGAGUACACUUUAAACGCUUUAACGAGUAUCCAUUGGAGGGCAAGUCUGGUGCCAGCAGCCGCGGUAAUUCCAGCUCCAAAAGUGUAUAUUUAAGUUGUUGCGGUUGAAAAGCUCGUAGUUGGAUUUUGGGAUGGCGCGUUCGGUCGGCCGCAAGGCUCGCACUGGACGUGCUGUCCUCACGUGACCGGUGCCUCUAAGGUGCUCUUGACCGAGUGUCUGUGUGGUCCGGGAAGUUUACCUUGAAAAAAUUAGAGUGUUCAAAGCAGGCUUGAAGCCUGAAUAAUGUUGCAUGGAAUAAUGGAAUAGGACCUCGGUUCUAUUUUGUUGGUUUUCGGAGCGCGAGGUAAUGAUUAAGAGGAACGGACGGGGGCAUCCGUACUGUGCCGUUAGAGGUGAAAUUCUUGGAUCGGCGCAAGACGAACAACUGCGAAAGCAUUUGCCAAGAAUGUUUUCUUUAAUCAAGAGCGAAAGUCAGAGGUUCGAAGACGAUCAGAUACCGUCCUAGUUCUGACCUUAAACGAUGCCGACUAGCGAUCGGGCAGCGUAAAUUUUAGACCUGCCCGGCAGCUUCCGGGAAACCAAAGUCUUUGGGUUCCGGGGGAAGUAUGGUUGCAAAGCUGAAACUUAAAGGAAUUGACGGAAGGGCACCACCAGGAGUGGAGCCUGCGGCUUAAUUUGACUCAACACGGGAAAUCUCACCCGGCCCGGACACAGCGAGGAUUGACAGAUUGAGAGCUCUUUCUUGAUUCUGUGGGUGGUGGUGCAUGGCCGUUCUUAGUUGGUGGAGCGAUUUGUCUGGUUAAUUCCGAUAACGAACGAGACUCUUACUUGCUAAAUAGCUGCUCGGCCCGUCGAGGCCGGAGACAACUUCUUAGAGGGACUAGUGGCGUUUAGCCACACGAGAUUGAGCAAUAACAGGUCUGUGAUGCCCUUAGAUGUUCGGGGCCGCACGCGCGCUACACUGACCGGAUCAUCGUGUGCUUCCCUUGGCCGAAAGGCCCGGGUAAUCCGUUGAACCCCGGUCGUGCUAGGGAUAGGGAAUUGCAAUUGUUUCCCUUGAACGAGGAAUUCCCAGUAAGCGCGAGUCAUUAGCUUGCGUUGAUUACGUCCCUGCCCUUUGUACACACCGCCCGUCGCUACUACCGAUUGAAUGGUUUAGUGAGGUCCUCCGAUUGGGCCCGGUGCGCACGGAAACGCGCGCGCUGGCGCCCGAGAAGAC